rnacentral:rRNA from 1 species
GCUGCAUGGCUGUCGUCAGCUCGUCGUCGUGAGAUGUUCGGUUAAGUCCGCUAACGAGCGCAACCCUCGCUGUGUGUUACAAGUGUCACACGGAACGGCCGGUCAUAAACCGGAGGAAGGUGGGGAUGACGUCAAGUCAGCAUGGCCUUUAUAUCCUGGGCUACACACACGCUACAAUGGGAAGGGACAAUAGGUUGCGAAGCCGCGAGGCGGAGCCAAUCCAGCAAAACUUCCCUCAGUUCAGAUUGCAGGCUGCAACUCGCCUGCAUGAAGUUGGAGUUGCUAGUAAACGCAGGUCAGCCAUACUGCGUUGAAUACGUUCCCGGGGCUU